CAAUCCGAAACAGAAGAAAUCCAACUUCUUUCUGCCUGACAACAAAACCUGCAGAGACACAGACUGCAGGCUGGAGAGGCUUAAACUUUGUAGCAGUUUCUUGGAUGGGCAUCAGUCAGAAUACUCCGAAAGAGGAUGGGGCAGUGCAAAUGCUGAAGAUACAAUAAUGAGGAAAAAAAUUUAAAUACCAAGUCUCUCUUUGUAUAUAGAAGUAUUGAAGAAGGAAUUUCUCCAGUGACAGAAAAAAGACUUGAAGAAUAGGGAUGUAGUCUGAGAUCAGCAGAUCAAGUCUUGGAAAACUGGUGCUGUCAUGUAGGAUCUGCACUGCAAGAGGAAGAGAUUUACACUCAGCAAACGUGCAAUCAACACAAGGUGAAAUUAUUCAGGUUUCUGCAGAUCUUUAUAAGGAUAGAUUGUUUUCUGCAAGCUGUGCCUCAAGUGUAUAACUUCAGAUUUCUUGAAGCCUGUGCUACAAUGACAAUGGAUGUUCCUUAAAGCUUUUGUUGAGAACAUUUCUGCUGUAUCUGCAUUGGCAGGUGACAUGUGCAUCACACUGCAAAGGCUGCUUCAGGUGAUGGAUCCUGCCAUUCCAUAUGGAGAUCUUGCUCCUAAAUGCUGUGCCAGGGAAUUGAUUCAAUAUGCAAUCAAACGGAGGAAUGUCAGCCCUGAAACCAAGGAGCCCCUUUGCUUUACUGGACCAGAAUUGCACAUCCAGCCUGAAGAACUGCUUCAAAAGAAUGUAGAUAAUUUCAGCCUUUCUCCAGUUGUUAAAGACAAGCUGUUCAGAACUUCUGGAGUGGGUGAUCAUCCUUUUGGCCUGUUUAUUGUUCUCUGAGAUGUAUUAAGGUAGCAUCUGCCUAAGCUAAGUGAGAGAAGAGAAAGGAAAAGGAGAUCAUUUAUCAAAAUCAGAUCCUUUUCUCGAAGGGGAUGAGUGACUGUUAGAACAGCAGCACAGCUUAAAUACCCAGAUUUUGCUUUGAUAUGUUUUGCAGCCUGACCCAAAGAGCCAGUCUCCUGUUAAAGAGUGUAAGAGGAUGAGUUCAGUGCCUGCUGUUCCUGCAAGAGCUGGGGGUCAGCAGCAGUAUUUGCAGAUGUGGAGCUGCUCUUGUCUGGGCUCAGGGUUGUGAUGGUGUUGGGAUAGGGUCUCCUUUGUUUUACUUUUCUGGCACUGUGCUCAGAAGAUUGAAGUGAGAGCUGUGGCUACAGUGGUUUAUACAAAAUUCAUGUGCCAGUUACAGGAACUUUAUAGUCCUUGUGGCAUUUUGUGUAGCGUGUCCUGGGAUACCAAUGUAUGCUAGAGCUGGGAGUUGUCUCUCUGCAGGAGUUUGGUUUUGCUUUUUUGCCACAGCCUUGCCGUGGGGCUGGCAGUACCCAAGGGCUAAAAUCCCAUUGUGCUGCUGAUUUGGAAGUAAGCUGCUUCCCUGGAAACUACUCCCAGUCCCAAAAUGUUAUUUCCGGGCAUGCUCAGGCACUUGUCCCAGCACAAGGGUGGCUCAGUCACACACCACGGAGCACAGGGUGUGUGUAUGCAAGGGACACAUCUGUACAGCACUUUUUUUAAGAAGUAAUAUUUAGAACCUUGUUGUUCCAAUGUGCAUGCUUCCAUGUGAUCUAUGAUGAUUGUAAAUAAGGGAAUGUGUUACAUUUUUCGCACUUUGGCUUUAUGGAGAAGAAUUAAAGAGUUUAACUUUAAAAAUCGUUGUUAGUCGGCUUUUGCUGUUAUGUUCUCAGAGUUUGAUUAUAAAAGGAAUAUGUGGGUUCAGUAGUGCCUUUUCAUUUGUUUUAGGGUGUUGUAUUUAUUUUGGGUGGUGUUUUUGGUUUAUUAGCUGUUGCUAAAAGGGGGAAGGAGCAGUCUUAAGAGAUUAAAUCAGUCUCUUGAAUGCAGUUUACAACUCAGGUUGUGUCCAACCCCUCAGUUUGUAUUUUGGCAUCUUAUCAUGAACUUGUAACCUAGUGGGAGGGAGCAGCUGAAGCCCCAGCACCUGUUAUGCCAUGAGAGAGGUGUUUUCCUGGAGAAGAUGGAGCUGCCAGGUGAGAGUAAUAGGUU